AAGGAAGACUUUCUAUGGAAACUACAUGUACAUAUUUUAAUAUGAUAAAAAGCUGCUGAACUGGAAACUCAGCUUCCUGUUCAUGAACUUUAAGGCUUCAGGCAUGUUGUCUCGUUGCAUUUUUGGAUGCUGCCCGAUGUCCUGCUGGCACAAAAUAAACACACUCUGAGAGUUUCCAGCUUGACCAAACAGAUGUUUCCAUAUAAUGAUUAUUAUGGACAUAUUAUUUCUGACUUUCACUUUCUGCUGUGUUUCCUGGAUUUCUGAGCAAAGACAAGAAAAAAGUGCAGUCUGUCCUUGUGGAGUUUCUUAGUUUGAUUCAGUGAGAAGAGUCUGGAAGAGCAGCUGAGGAGGAGCAGGAAGGAGGAGGAAGGAGCAGGAACUAGCAGUAGUUUCACUUUGUCAGAAAGAGGACUGUGCUCAGCUGUGGACUCCACCAUGAUUGUUUGACUAUAAAAAGAGAAACUGUGUCUCUGCUGCUCUGAUAAAGACCUCUGUGACUGGUUUUGUGAGACUGCUAUUCACACUUGAAUGAGAAUGAAGCGACACUGCAGUGGAUCUUCCCUCAUCCUUAAAGUGCAGCUGUGGAUAAUCUGUUGAAGAACCCACAUAUUUCAUGUCAUCUGGUGGAGCUUUAUCAAAGAUGUGUCAGCUUCAGUGUGAAAUAUGAUGCAGUUGACUAAAUCACAAGAAACCCAAGACCCAGCCUGUUUGUUGGAGGGAUAAUUAGAUGCCAACUGAAUCAGAGUAAACUCAGCUUCUCUGGGAUCUUUACAAAAUAAGCUCAUUAUGAGACUCUGAUCUUGAAACCCACAGAAAACAGAAGAUGGAUGCUGUGAAAAUAUUCUGCUGGACUCUGGAGUGUGUCU